GUUAGUCGUUCCCUCCCCCCUAAAGUUUAAUUAGUUAAAGCAAAUAGUCCAUAUUUAGGCACAGUUAUCCUUCAAACAUGCACAUAAAGUAUGAUUAGUGUCACUUGGGGUUGUGAACCCGCUUGGAUGUUUGGGUAAAGUCAACUAAUGGGUUUAAUACACCAAGGGUAUUAAACCUCCUAGGUCAUGAAAGGUAUGCUCCUAAUAAAAGGUGUUGGUUUAGCUCUAUCUUAGGCUGACUAAGAGUUGUUUUCCUAUGACACAAGGCUCCCCCAAGCGGACAACUUGGGAGUGGAAGGUCCGUGGCUGUCGACUGCACCGCCGAUCGACUAAAUCCACAAGAUCAAUCCAACUAAGGGUGAUUUAGUAGUGUACGGCCGCGAACCGCGAAACCGCUUUAAGUGUGUGAAUAUGUGUGAGUUUUCCAGGAGUGGAAGAAAUAUGAACGGAAUGACAGUUUUAUCAAAGCAAAUAACACAUAAACAGUUUAUAUCAAACAUACAGUUUAUAUCAAACACACAAUUAAUAGCAUGUAAAAAACAGUUAACAAAUAAAUAAAGUAAUUAAAAUAAGCACACAAAACCUAUUUGAACUAAGUCCGUUAUGGUUAGAACCUAAGUAUUCCCCAGCGGAGUCGCCAAGCUGUUAUAACCCAUUUUUAACCGGGUUAAAUUAAAAGUACAACAUAUUGGUGAUUGCUAUUUUUUGUUUAUUUUAAGGAGUCGCCACCUAAUUAUUUAUGGUGAAUUAGGACACCUAAAAUUUAUUAAAGUUGUUUUAAAGUUAACUCCGUUUUAAAAAGUCUGCGAAACUUAAGAUUCUAGGUAAGGGUUCAAUUAGUCUAAAGGGAAGGUAUUAAGCAUCCUUUAAGACUCAUUAACAAUGAUUAACCGACCGGACUUACAAUUAAUUAGGCUAAGUAUAAAUAUCAUAGAAAAGAAAAUAGUUUCGUAAAUACGGCUAAGGUUAUAGACAUGUAAGAAUGCUAUUAAAAAUAAGACUUGUAGGAAAUAGUAAUAAUUUGUAUAAAAGAGUACUUCUAAUGCUAUUUUUAAAACACGACUUAUAAAUGUUAUUAAGGCUUUAAACGAAAGUGUAAUAGUGUUGUUUAAAAUAAUACUUGUAGAAAACAUAAUAAUUUGCGUAAAAGAAGAUUCUAAAUGUUAAAUGAGACUCAAAAACAUUGCUAAGGCUUUAAAUGAAAAAUAUAGUAAUGUUAUUCGAAAAAUAAGAUUUGUAGAAAGUAGGGUAAUUUACCUAUGAAUAAUAGCCUUUUAAAAGAUGAUUUGACAAAUGUGAUGUUUAGAUAAAAUGAUGUUAUAUGAAUAUGGUGGCAUAGGAAUACCUAGACUUAUAUUCUUAAAUAUGAUGAAAAGGCCAUAAGUUUCUUUCUAUUUUUUUAUCACUCUUUGAUUUAACCAAUUUCGGCUAAAAAAUAUGUACAAUUGGAUGAAGCUUAAGAGAAUGUUUAGAGAAUAUGCUUAAGUUUAUAUAUGCGUAUUAGUGAUGUUUUGAAAUUUCUAAUACAGUAAGAAUGAAAACAUGAUCUUAAUUCAAAAUAUGUGUUUGUGGCUUCGCCCUUGAAAAUGGCAUUAAUAUAGAUAAAUAUUAUAGGUACUAUAAAUAAUUUAAUAUGAAAGAAGGAAAUGAAACUAAGGAAUUAAUUAUUGUUUCUUCCUACCCAUUUUGCUAAAAUCAAACCCACUAACUCCGCUAAGGUUCACCUAAUCUAAGCAAAUAAAAACAAGCAAAGUGUUAGUCAUAUAGUACAAAUUAAAUCCACGAAGUAAAAUAAAAUAGAGGAGUGAAAUGAUUUAAAUGAGUUUAGCCCAUUUAGGACUGCUGCUGUUCACUGCUACUGUUAUGGGCCUCGGCCCAGCAGAUUUUAGUAUGUCGCUGCGGAUUGACUGCUACUGUAUGGAGGGUGACUCGAGAGGAGUUGUGUUGAGCCUUUGGCCCAACGCCAAAAUGCGGGAGAAGAUGACGAGUCGCUUGGACUCAUAUGCGAGAUAUCAUGCAAAAAAAAAAUGAAAAGAAACGAUUAGUAUAUAAUUCAAAGAAUUUUAAAUAAGAAGGAGUCAGACAAGAUGUUCUAUUCCUUGAAAAUGUAAUAACUUGUUUCAAGAUUCGCAAAUAGGUAAACAAAAUGACAAGAGUCGAAUUCCUAAUUAUCAGAAUGAAAUAGUUCAGUCUAAUUCUGUUAUAUCCCGUAUUUUUGAACGUCAGAUUAUUUGCUGAGGUGGGGCCCACACAUCGAUAUUUUUUUUGGGACAUCUGAAAAGUCAUAUGAAUCACAUAUGUGAAGUUAAACACAACUCAAGAAGGACCCUUGGGCCAAAUCAAAGUGGAAGUCCUCCAAACGAAUAUUUUUAAGAAAACGUUUUCGGGUGAUCUGACUUCUAGGGGCAAAAACGGUAUUAUAAGUUUGGAAUUUGGAAAAUACCAAGAAGUAGAAGUUGUAGAUAAUUGAAUUAUCUUUCCAACCAUAGGUCAUGGGUUCCCAGGUGACGUCGGUACAAGGAGAUAUGGACGUUUUAAGGUCGAAAGGUCAGUGGGCUAGACCCAACUCGGGACCAACCGGGUUAGGCCCAAAAAAAAAAAAAGGAAAAGAAGAGGCCCAAUAGGGUCCAUCCGGCCAUGGCUUGGAAAAUAAGAAAAGAAAAGGGAGAUCCAAGCCCAUAAUAAUUUAUCCAUGUGAUAAAUGAAUAAAAGGGCUAAUUAAUCAUCAUUUAUCCAUAGAACAUUCAAGAGAGAUAAGAGAAGGAGAAAAACAAAAUAAGAAGAGCAUAAAAAUUAAGGCCAUACGGCCAUGACCAAGGAAAUUUAGCCCCUCAAAAUCUUGUCCCAAAAAUUAUUUUCUUGUGGUAUUUCUACUAAUUCAAGGGUCCUCUACAACGUGGUAUAAUUGUUUCGGAAGAUAGACCGCUUGUUUUAUCGAUUUAACACUUUGGACAAGUGAAUAAAAUAAGGAGAAAAAGGUAAGAUUUCACUCCUUUUGUCUUGGAAGAAAUAUAUAUAGGUGUUGUGGAAUGUGGAAAGGAAUGUAGAGUAUGAAAAUUUUGUGUUAUGGAUAUAUAUAUGUAUGGCCAAAAAUGGUAUACAUGGAAAGGGAUAAUUAAAAUUUUAUUUGUUAUAUUAAUUGUGUUGUUGAAGCCUUGUGAUGGAAAUGGAGGAAAAUGGUUUAAGUUGGCAUGAAAAAUUGUUGAAAAUGAUUAUAGGAACUUAUGUGAUUUUAAUGUAAUUUUUUUUUAUAAUUAUGGAAAUGGAGUUCUAAAUGUGAAUUAUUAUGUUAGUUGGUGAAUUUGGAGGGAUGUAAGUUCAUAUUGGCAUGAAAGAUUGGUUGGUAAGUUGUUAUGGGAAAUUUUGUGAUUUUAUGGAAGAUUUAUGUAAUGAUGAAAAUGAAAUUGUUAAGGUGCAAAUUAUUAUUAUUGUUAAUGAAAUGGGAGGACGAAAAUGUGUUAUGAAUAUUUAUGUUGAAAAUUAGAAGUUUCGGAUGGAUUAUGGUUUUGGUGGAAAGUUGGUAUAUUUUGUAUAUCUUGUGAAUAUUUUGUAAAAUGAUAUGAAAUUCUUCCAAAUUGAAUUGGAAUGAUCUUGAUUAGUAAUGAAUAUGAAAACAUUGAUGUUGGUUGGAAAGUGCAAAGUUGGAUUAGAAGUUGUUGCAUUAUUUGGAAAAGAAUACUAUUCAUGCUAGAAUGCGUUUUAAUUCGAUUGUUGAUGUUGUUGGUAUUGUUGUUGGUAUGGUUGUUGACAUUUGGAGCCGAGUUAAAUCUCGGGGAUGCCUUAUUUAUAGGGGAGAUGCUGCCCAAAUUUUUGUAGACAAGUAUUGGUUAAGAUUGAAAUCUUAAAGCCUUACAAUUAACAUUUGGUAAUUGUGACCAAAUUGUAGAUUUUGGCGAACUUGAAACUUGAUGUUGGAGACGUGUAUGAAUCGGAAAAGGUAUGUAAGGAUUCACCCUUCCUUCUAUGGCAUGUCUUAAACGUAAUAAGUUGGAUACGAGCCUCGGGGACAACUCUAUUCUCCGAAAUCCGCACCCAAAGUUUCCCCUUUUUCAUUCAGUAGAAUUGAAUUAAAUAUUGUAUGAAAUGUUGAAAAAUUGCCUAAACAUCUAGAACUUGCACAAAUAGGACCCGACUACCUUAAAACUCUCACAAGUGACGUCAUGAAAUGUAACGUAUGUAAAUCGUGUACGCCACCUCAUUUGACCCGAGGUGGGCCCGUUAUUCCCGGAUUUUCUUAAUUGUUUCGUUUAUCGAACGAUAAGUAUAUGUACAUGUAUAUGGGGAAGAUUGGGAAAGAGAAGGCGCUAUAGACGCAUAGCCACCUGAUCAGUUGGAGUAUGUUACAUGAUAUCGUCCCGGACGCGGGAUAUAUGGUUAAAUGGAUCGGAGCCGACGCCUCGGCAAUAUGAUAUGUUCUAUGUUAUAUAUAUAUGAAAAGAAAUGUUUUCCAAGAAAGCAAAGUAUUAUAUGUAUAUGGAUCGGGCUGCACGUGCCGCAGCAAUACGUUAUAGUAUAUGCACAUAUGGAUCGGGCUGCACGUUCCGCAGCGCUAAGCAUGCAUGGUAUCCGCCAACGUGCCCUUAUAUGUACAGGUUGUGUUUCUACUUCAUGACAUGCGUUAUAUCUCUUUUAUGUUAUUAUUCAUGCCUUACAUACUCGGUACAUUACUCGUACUGACGUCCCUUCUUGUGGACGCUGCGUUUCAUGCCGCGCAGGUCAACAGGUAGACAGAUUUGACUCUUAGAAGCUCCAUCAGCAGUACUGUGGCAGCGCUCCAGUUGUUCCGGAGCCUCAGUUUCUUGGUACUACUUUUGUGUACAUAUUCGGGCACGGUAGAACCGGUCCUUCUUGUAUAUGUAGAUGUACUUUGUUUAGAGGCUCGUAGACAGAUAUGUAUAGUCAGAUGUUUUGUACUUUUGUGGUCCUCGUCGUUGUAUAAUGUGCUAGCAAAGUUUAUAAGUCCAUGUCUACAAUUAUGCCAUUAAUGUUAGCGUUGAGCAACAGAAAAAAAAAAAGAUACGGUAUAGUAUAUACGGCCCACCUAGUAGUAAAAGUACGAUACGAGAUAAGGGGUGCUCGGUACAAGUAUCGGGUACCCGUCGCGGCCCCUAGUUGGGUCGUGACAGAAGUGGUAUCAGAGCAGUUCGUCCUAGGGGUUUGUCUACGAGCCGUGUCCAGUAGAGUCCUGUUUAUGGGUGUGUAGCGCGCCACACUUAUAAACAAGAGGCUACAGGGCAUUUAGGAAAAAUGACAGUCUUUCAUCUUAAGAAAUCGUGCGAUAGAGCCAAGUUAAGGAUGUAACUAUCUAAAUUUUUUUCUGUUUAAUUUUCAGCAAUGCCUUUGAGAAAGAAGAAGAAAUUCAGCACAAUACUAGGCGCUGCGGGAGAAGGCACCAGCCGAGAGCCCCCGGUUGAACUUGGACAUAGUGAGUCUCAGAGUGUCACUCCCUCGCAUGCUACCUCUAUUCCUCCAGUAGCAGAAGAGCAUGAAGAGGUCUCCACUCCAGCUCCAGUGCAUCCAGUCCCUCCACCGGUUGCUUCGGGUCAACAAGUGACCGAGGCCAUUCAUUUACUGACACAAUUGGUUGCCGCCCAGGCACAGCGGCAGAAUGUGAGUUCAAGUGAUCAGUCAGCUAGUACUAGAGCUCGUGACUUUAUCACUCUGAAGCCUCCGGAGUUUUAUGGAUCGAAACCAGAGGAAGACCCGCAGAAUUUUAUAGAUGAGAUGCUGAGGACACUGAGGAUCAUACAUGCUUCGGAUACAGAGUCAGUGGAAUUGGCUUCAUACAGGUUGCGGGAUGUAGCAGUUCAGUGGUAUAAUAACUGGAUAUCUUCGAGGGGAGCAAAUGCGCCUCCCCCGGUUUGGCAGGAGUUCACUGAAGCAUUCCUGCGACAUUACUUACCACCGGAGGUCCGACGGGCUCGAGCCGAUAUGAUCUUGAAUCUCAAGCAAGGAAAUAUGAGUGUCAGGGAGUAUAGUCUUCAUUUUAAUUCUUUAGCCAGGUAUGCCCCAGCCAUGAUAGCUGAUAGGGGAGAUCACGUACACCGGUUUGUGAGUGGAUUGGGGCCACAUUUAAUUAAGGAGUGUCUGACAGCUUCCCUCCAGGAUGGAAUGACUAUUGCUCGUAUCCAGGCCCAUGCCCAAAACCUGGAGGAACAGUAUCAGUUACGGAGAGAGGAGCGCUAUUCGGAUAGGGGUUCCAGAAAAAGGGGCAGAUCUUCCGGGACUAGAAGCGAGUAUAGAGGGGGACAGGCACAAGAGCAAUCAAGGUAUUCAGGCCAAUCAGCGGCCAGUGCACCUCCUCGAUUUGUGGAUAAGGGAUUUGAUCGUUCUACUUAUUCAGGAGCAGAUCAGGGUACUAGAGCUUCAGGAUCCCAGUAUAGAGCUGAUUCUAGCAGGGUGAUGCCACCCCCGCCACGGUGUCCUCAGUGUGGUAGGCCACACUCUGGAGAGUGUCGCGCAGGUACACGUGCUUGUUAUACUUGUGGGCGGGUUGGCCACUUGAUGCGUGAUUGCCCACUGAGGAAUGAGGGAGACCAAACUCAGCCCGCCGGAUCCGCAAUUGGUUCAUCACCGUCCGUGCGCCCUCCUGGACAGGCUUCCCAGGCCCCAGCAGGUCGUGGUCGAGGUAGAGGAGGGGCACCCAGUUCAGCCGGUCCUCCGCACCGCCUAUAUGCAUUGACAGGACGGCAGGACCCUGAACCUUCUGCAGACGCGGCCACAGGUACACUUUUGGCAUUUUCUAUGAUAUGUGUGUGUUAAUUGAUCUGGAAUCUACUUUAUCAUACACCAUCCCUUGUGUUGCUGAAAAUUUCACAAAUGUAGGAAUAAGAGACGAAUGUAAAAAAAAAAAAAAAAAAAAAAAAAAAAAUCAGGCAACCUAAGUCCCUAAAAUGGAUAUCUUAAGCGACGCGUGAGAUAAUUACAAAAGAGACCUCCCCGAAGUAUUAUAAUACACUAUGAGGUCAGUUUAACAUUCGAGGACGAAUGUUCUAAAGGGGGGGAGGAUGUUAUAUCCCGUAUUUUUGAACGUCAGAUUAUUUGCUGAGGUGGGGCCCACACAUCGAGAUUUUUUUUGGGACAUCUGAAAAGUCAUAUGAAUCACAUAUGUGAAGUUAAACACAACUCAAGAAGGACCCUUGGGCCAAAUCAAAGUGGAAAUCCUCCAAACGAAUAUUUUUAAGAAAACGUUUUCGGGUGAUCUGACUUCUAGGGGCAAACACGGUAUUAUAAGUUUGGAAUUUGGAAACUACCAAGAAGUAGAAGUUGUAGAUAAUUGAAUUAGCUUUCCAACCAUAGGUCAUGGGUUCCCAGGUGACGUCGGUACAAGGAGAUAUGGACGUUUUAAGGUCGAAAGGUCAGUGGGCUAGACCCAACUCGGGACCAACCGGGUUAGGCCCAAAAAAAAAAAAGGAAAAGAAGAGGCCCAAUAGGGUCCAUCCGGCCAUGGCUUGGAAAAUAAGAAAAAAAAAGGGAGAUCCAAGCCCAUAAUAAUUUAUCCAUGUGAUAAAUGAAUAAAAGGGCUAAUUAAUCAUCAUUUAUCCAUAGAACAUUCAAGAGAGAUAAGAGAAGGAGAAAAACAAAAUAAGAAGAGCAUAAAAAUUAAGGCCAUACGGCCAUGACCAAGGAAAUUUAGCCCCUCAAAAUCUUGUCCCAAAAAUUAUUUUCUUGUGGUAUUUCUACUAAUUCAAGGGUCCUCUACAACGUGGUAUAAUUGUUUCGGAAGAUAGACCGCUUGUUUUAUCGAUUUAACACUUUGGACAAGUGAAUAAAAUAAGGAGAAAAAGAUUUUGGCGAACUUGAAACUUGAUUUUGGAGACGUGUAUGAAUCGGAAAAGGUAUGUAAGGAUUCACCCUUCCUUCUAUGGCAUGUCUUAAACGUAAUAAGUUGGAUACGAGCCUCGGGGACAACUCUAUUCUCCGAAAUCCGCACCCAAAGUUUCCCCUUUUUCAUUCAGUAGAAUUGAAUUAAAUAUUGUAUGAAAUGUUGAAAAAUUGCCUAAACAUCUAGAACUUGCACAAAUAGGACCCGACUACCUUAAAACUCUCACAAGUGACGUCAUGAAAUGUAACGUAUGUAAAUCGUGUACGCCACCUCAUUUGACCCGAGGUGGGCCCGUUAUUCCCGGAUUUUCUUAAUUGUUUCGUUUAUCGAACGAUAAGUAUAUGUACAUGUA